CAGCGAAACUGCGAAUGGCUCAUUAUAUAAGUUAUCGUUUAUUUGAUAGUACCUUACUACUUGGAUAACCGUGGUAAUUCUAGAGCUAAUACAUGCUGAAAAUCCCGACUUCGGAAGGGAUGUAUUUAUUAGAUUAAAAACCAAUGCCCUCUGGGCUCCUUGGUGAUUCAUAAUAACUUUUCGAAUCGCAUGGCCUUGCGCCGGCGAUGGUUCAUUCAAAUUUCUUCCCUAUCAACUUUCGAUGUUUGGGUAUUGGCCAAACAUGGUCGCAACGGGUAACGGAGGGUUAGGGCUCGACCCCGGAGAAGGAGCCUGAGAAACGGCUACUACAUCCAAGGAAGGCAGCAGGCGCGCAAAUUACCCAAUCCCGAUUCGGGGAGGUAGUGACAAUAAAUACUGAUACAGGGCUCUUUUGGGUCUUGUAAUUGGAAUGAGUACAAUUUAAAUCCCUUAACGAGGAACAAUUGGAGGGCAAGUCUGGUGCCAGCAGCCGCGGUAAUUCCAGCUCCAAUAGCGUAUAUUAAAGUUGUUGUGGUUAAAAAGCUCGUAGUUGAACCUUGGGCCUGGCUGGCCGGUCCGCCUCACCGCGUGUACUGGUCCGGCCGGGCCUUUCCCUCUGUGGAACCUCAUGCCCUUCACUGGGUGUGGCGGGGAAACAGGACUUUUACUUUGAAAAAAUUAGAGUGCUCCAGGCAGGCCUAUGCUCGAAUACAUUAGCAUGGAAUAAUGAAAUAGGACGCGUGGUUCUAUUUUGUUGGUUUCUAGGACCGCCGUAAUGAUUAAUAGGGACAGUCGGGGGCAUCAGUAUUCAAUUGUCAGAGGUGAAAUUCUUGGAUUUAUUGAAGACUAACUACUGCGAAAGCAUUUGCCAAGGAUGUUUUCAUUAAUCAGGAACGAAAGUUAGGGGAUCGAAGACGAUCAGAUACCGUCGUAGUCUUAACCAUAAACUAUGCCGACUAGGGAUCGGACGAUGUUAUUUUUUGACGCGUUCGGCACCUUACGAGAAAUCA
rnacentral:rRNA from 2 species